UCUGUGUCGAUCAAAUCGACAGUUUUGACAUGAAGCUAUCAGAAAUAUAUUCCAACAGUGUUCGACAAAAACAAUGUAGCAUUAUUGAUGUUAUUUCUUGCAAAGAUUUCCAAAAUUAUCAAAAUGCUGAUUUGAGUAGCAUUUCUGUUGUUGACAUACUAUUAGACCAGAUAUCGAAAAAAAUUUUCGAAUGUUUAACGACUUCUGAGAAGUUUAUUGUAGCUUGCGCUUUCAAAAAUUCUCUUUCGGGUCUUCUAGUUUUUCUUAUGUGCGCGAAGAACAACCUGGUUUAUUACCCAGUUGACAAUGCAAUAGAAAUCAGUACUCUCGAAAAUUCAUUGAAACCUUUGAGAGCUAAAUUCUACCUUUGUGGCAAAUUACUACCGGAAUCAAGUAAUUUUUGUCAUUUGGUUGGAACCGUUAUUGGCGGGGAAAUAUUUAUCUAUCGACUUAAUUUCGAGCUUAAUAAAACCAUUUUAUUACCGGAAAUUGAAGUAAAGCCUGAUUGGCUGAACGACUUAGCUUAUGUUAUUUCCACUUCGGGUACGACUGGGUUACGUAAGCACGUCCUAGUAUCGAACCAAUCUAUUAUCUCUAAUGUAAAUUGUAUUGUAGACCGAUUGGCCUUGAAAAGUGAUGAAGUUAUAGCACAAAACACUAGUUAUUUGUUCGACCCGUUUUUUGUUGAAGUUAUAUCUUGGCUUAUAACUGGAAGCACAUUGCUGAUUUUUCCGCUGGAAUUUAAACUCAAUUUUGAAAAGUUCCACAAUUUGAUUACGACGCAUAAUGUUACGUUUUUGCAAACGACGCCUAGCUCUUUGGCAAUUUUGGGCGCAGAAAAUAUUGGAAAAAUGCUUCUGCAUAAUAAAUCGUCUCUUCGUAACUUAGCUUUAGGCGGCGAAGCGUUUCCGGGAUCUCUUCUUGCCUGGAAAUCAAAAUCAAACAAAACGAGGAUAUUCAAUUUUUAUGGAUUGACUGAACUUUCCUGCUGGGCUACUCUAUGUGAAAUCUCAUUCGAUCAAUCAAGUUUUAAGAACGAUUUGAUUGGCCUUGAAGUCGACCGAGCAGAAAAGAGACCAGUGUUUGCGGAUGUUGCCAUUGGAGAAGCAAUGGCCGAUACAGAGCUGGAUUUCCGCAAACUUGAAAAUGGCUCUAAUGACGAAUUGUACUCGUUGACUUUACGAUCUCGAAAACGACUUUGUUCUGUUCUACAAUCUGGGCAAUCCCUCAUAGAUUUGUACAAACUACAAGAAGGCGAAAUAUUCCGCAGUGAAACUAUUGUUCAUACGAAUGAUUUAUUCGAAAAUGUAGAAAGCAAAUGGGUCUUCAGAGGGAGAGCUGACAACGAAGUUAAAAUGUUAGGGAGGGGGUUAAAUCUGGAUGGGAUUAAACAGCUUGUUCUGGACUAUAGUGACGACGAAAUAUCAGGAUGCGUUAUCGAGUUUUCUUUCUUAGUUUAACACUUUAUCGAUUAUCCGCAUUUUGAUUGAAAAGAGUUCAACCAAUUAGUUGAUUGGAUUUUGUAAAUUGUUUUCAUUUAAUGCAAGGGGAACUUCAUACAAGGUUCAAAUUUCGUUUAUGCUGAACAUUUUCAUGCUUGGACUGGUUUUUUAAGGGCGAAGUUCUUUCCAGGACUCACAUGGAGAAAUAAUUAACAAGUUCUGGUUGAUUUGAGGGUAUCCCUCAUUUCUAAUAGUUUCAGGAAGUUUGUAGAGCCCUUUUUUGAAGAUGUAUUCCAAAAGUUUUAAAGGAUGCCUCAAUUUAUUUCUUGGAAGCCAUUUUUGUCGAAAGCUGUUUUCGCCAAUUUUUUAGCUAAAGAUAUUUGAAGAUUUUUGAAAGUCAUCCUUAGUGACAUUGAAUUUAAUU